rnacentral:rRNA from 1 species
AACGAACGCUGGCGGCAGGCUUAACACAUGCAAGUCGAGCGCCCCGCAAGGGGAGCGGCAGACGGGUGAGUAACGCGUGGGAACGUACCCUUUACUACGGAAUAGCUCCGGGAAACUGGAAUUAAUACCGUAUAUGCCCUUCGGGGGAAAGAUUUAUCGGUAAAGGAUCGGCCCGCGUUGGAUUAGCUAGUUGGUGGGGUAAAGGCCUACCAAGGCGACGAUCCAUAGCUGGUCUGAGAGGAUGAUCAGCCACAUUGGGACUGAGACACGGCCCAAACUCCUACGGGAGGCAGCAGUGGGGAAUAUUGGACAAUGGGCGCAAGCCUGAUCCAGCCAUGCCGCGUGAGUGAUGAAGGCCUUAGGGUUGUAAAGCUCUUUCACCGAUGAAGAUAAUGACGGUAGUCGGAGAAGAAGCCCCGACUAACUUCGUGCCAGCAGCCGCCGUAACAC